rnacentral:lncRNA from 1 species
CUAGGUAAUAGAUAGGGGCAAAUAACCCACACAAUAGCAACUAUAAGCGUUAACAACUCAUGGUUUUCGAGAAAUUAUUGGGUUUUUCUUUGCAUGAAUUGGGUUUUAGAACUCUGCAAUGGGCUAUUGCAUUGGUUUUUGAAUUAGUUUUAUUUUGUGAUCCCGCAAAUACGCAGCUUAUCUGGAGCUCUGCAUGUAGCAGCAUUCUUGUCCUUUAUAUGAAUAAAGAAAAUGUGAGGUAUCCAUCAAUG